GAUGAACGCUGGCGGCGUGCUUAACACAUGCAAGUCGAACGAAGCGACUAUGAUUGAGAUUUCGGUUGAUUGAUUAGUUGACUUAGUGGCGGACGGGUGAGUAACGCGUGGGUAACCUGCCUCGUACGGGGGGAUAACAGUUAGAAAUGACUGCUAAUACCGCAUAACCCGCUAAAGUCGCAUGACUUAGACGGAAAAGAUUUAUCGGUACGAGAUGGACCCGCGUCUGAUUAGCUAGUUGGUGAGGUAACGGCCCACCAAGGCGACGAUCAGUAGCCGGCCUGAGAGGGUGAACGGCCACAUUGGGACUGAGACACGGCCCAAACUCCUACGGGAGGCAGCAGUGGGGAAUAUUGCACAAUGGGGGAAACCCUGAUGCAGCAACGCCGCGUGAGUGAAGAAGUAUUUCGGUAUGUAAAGCUCUAUCAGCAGGGAAGAAAAUGACGGUACCUGACUAAGAAGCCCCGGCUAACUACGUG
rnacentral:rRNA from 1 species